UACGAAGGGGGCUAGCGUUGCUCGGAAUGGCUGGGCGUAAAGGGCGCGUAGGCGGUGAAUCGGGUUGAAAGUGAAAGUCGCCAAAAAGUGGCGGAAUGCUCUCGAAACCAAUUCACUUGAGUGAGACAGAGGAGAGUGGAAUUUCGUGUGUAGGGGUGAAAUCCGUAAAUAUACGAAGGAACGCCAAAAGCGAAGGCAGCUCUCUGGGUCCCUACCGACGCUGGGGUGCGAAAGCGUGGGGAGCGAACAGG
rnacentral:rRNA from 1 species